GAUGAACGCUGGCGGCGUGCCUAAUACAUGCAAGUCGAGCGAACAGAUAAGGAGCUUGCUCCUUUGACGUUAGCGGCGGACGGGUGAGUAACACGUGGGUAACCUACCUAUAAGACUGGGAUAACUUCGGGAAACCGGAGCUAAUACCGGAUAACAUUUGGAACCGCAUGGUUCUAAAGUGAAAGAUGGUUUUGCUAUCACUUAUAGAUGGACCCGCGCCGUAUUAGCUAGUUGGUAAGGUAACGGCUUACCAAGGCGACGAUACGUAGCCGACCUGGGAGGGUGAUCGGCCACACUGGAACUGAGACACGGUCCAGACUCCUACGGGAGGCAGCAGUAGGGAAUCUUCCGCAAUGGGCGAAAGCCUGACGGAGCAACGCCGCGUGAGUGAUGAAGGGUUUCGGCUCGUAAAACUCUGUUAUUAGGGAAGAACAAAUGUGUAAGUAACUGUGCACGUCUUGACGGUACCUAAUCAGAAAGCCACGGCUAACUACGUG
rnacentral:rRNA from 1 species